rnacentral:snRNA from 1 species
CUGGUUUCUCUUCAGAUCGUAUAAAUCUUUUGCCUUUUACUAAAGAUUUCCAUGGAGAGGAACAAGUUAG